rnacentral:rRNA from 1 species
CCUACGGGUGGCAGUAGUGAGGAAUAUUGGUCAAUGGACGAGAGUCUGAACCAGCCAAGUAGCGUGAGGGAUGACGGUCCUAUGGGUUGUAAACCUCUUUUAUAUGGGAACAAAAUGCUCCACGCGUGGGAUUCCGAAUGUACCAGAAGAAUAAGCAUCGGCUAACUCCGUGCCAGCAGCCGCGGUAAUACGGAGGAUUCGAGCGUUAUCCGGAUUUAGUGGGUUUAAGGGGAGCGUAGGUGGAUUGUUAAGUCAGUUGUGAAAGUUUGCGGCUCAACCGUAAAAUUGCAGUUGAAACUGGCAGUCUUGAGUACAGUAGAGGUGGGCGGAAUUCGUGGUGUAGCGGUGAAAUGCUUAGAUAUCACGAAGAACUCCGAUUGCGAAGGCAGCUCACUGGACUGCAACUGACACUGAGGCUCGAAAGUGUGGGUAUCAAACAGGAUUAGAUACCCCUGUAGUC